rnacentral:misc_RNA from 1 species
GAUGAAGAACGCAGCGAAAUGCGAUAAGUAAUGUGAAUUGCAGAAUUCAGUGAAUCAUCGAAUCUUUGAACGCACAUUGCGCCCGUCAGUAUUCUGGCGGGCAUGCCUGUUCGAGCGUCAUUACGCCCCUCAAGUCCCCUGUGGACUUGGUGUUGGGGAUCGGCGAGGCUGGUUUUCCAGCACAGCCGUCCCUUAAAUUAAUUGGCGGUCUCGCCGUGGCCCUCCUCUGCGCAGUAGUAAAACACUCGCAACAGGUGCCCGGCGCGGUCCACUGCCGUAAAACCCCCCAACUUUUUAUAGUUGACCUCGAAUCAGGUAGGACUACCCGCUGAACUUAAGCAUAUCAAUAAGCGGAGGA